GACAGCAGUGGGAGAAGAAAAGGGCCUCUCUGGGAUGACCUUCCAGGAGAAAACUGCUACAAGAAAGCCUAUGUACAGUUAAAAGAGCACAACUGUCCCUGAUCACAUGGAAGCCUUCUCCAGGUGCUGCCACAAACAAUGGGAAGGGGUCUUGGAGCAGAGGUUGGGAUCUCUGACAAGUGCAGUGACAAGCUAAAUAAGAUCAUGCUGUCUUUCUCAAAAGUGGAAGAGUGGCUAAAACAACAUGUAAAGCAUUGAUCCUAGUGCCUGGUAAGAGAAAGCCUUCCUAUACUUUACCUCCCACUCUUUACCUGCCACUCUUCAGUGGCAGUAGUAAAAGAUUUCAAAUCCCU
rnacentral:lncRNA from 1 species